UUAGGAAUAUUGGACAAUGGGCGCAAGCCUGAUCCAGCCAUGCCGCGUGAGUGAUGAAGGCCUUCGGGUUGUAAAGCUCUUUAGCCGAUGAUUAUAAUGACUGUAGUCGGAGAAUAAGCCCCGGCUAACUUCGUGCCAGCAGCCGCGGUAAUACGAAGGGGGCGAGCGUUAUUCGGAAUCACUGGGCGUAAAGCGUGCGUAGGCUGUCUAGCAAGUUGGAAGUGAAAGCCCAGGGCUCAACCCUGGAAUUGCUUUCAAAACUGCAAGACUAGAGUCCGGGAGAGGAUAGCGGAAUUUCCAGUGUAGUAGUGAAAUACGUAGAUAUUGGAAGGAACACCAGUGGCGCAAGCGGCUAUCUGGACCGGUACUGACGCUGAGGCACGAAAGCGUGGGGAUCAAACAG
rnacentral:rRNA from 1 species